AGAAGGCAUCCGCCAGCUGACAGUGAUGCCCCCGCGAGCGGUCAGGCCACACACACCCCAGGAUAUAGUCGCUUGCUGGCGACUGGGGUACCACUGGAUGGAGUCAAGGACAUAUCAAGGUGUUGUUACAACAUGGCCCAGCCCUAGCUGCCAUCUCCGCCAAAAAAGGAGGGGCCCAUGAACCCCUGAAAUGAAAUCCAAAACCUCGUGGGAGAUGCUUUCUUCUAGGGAGAUCUCCAUGUUUGAAAAGAGACAACUCCCCAAAAAUGGAAGAUUCACGAGGCUGAAUACAAAAUGUGAGACCUCUUCCUACCCAACAAACGGUCGACACUGACAACCCAUCAACACUGACAACCUGCCAACCUGAGGAAUGGCAGCACCCAGGGAAAGGGGCGGCCCCAACGCUGCUGUGUGAGUGGACACUGCAGGGAGAGUGGCGGCACCUGCAAAGACAGAAGACUCGAGGACCCUCCUCGGCAGCCCCACUGCCAGGGACACACCCUAAAGAAACUCUCACACCUGCGCCCCAGACGCAUUCAGGGCCCGGGCCGUGACGGUGCUGGCCACAGUGUGCUGAGUGACAAUGGAACACAGGAGACAACCUAGAUUUCCAUUGGGAUGGGGGCACGCAGGACAGUGUUCACACUACAGGUCGCCACGCAGCAGCCUGCGAUCAAACACAUCGACGAGCACAGGUGUCAACAAGACUGUUGAGUGAAAAGUACAAGUUCCAGGUUUUUUAUGUAAAGUUAAGAAAAACACCCACACAAAACAAUCCUAUAUAUUAGUUAUGGAUACUUAUAUCCAUGUGUAAAUGUACCCGAAAGAGCCUGGGAGGAAAAAUACAAAAGCAGUAGUUGGAAGGAAAUGGGUUACUUAAUAUUUCUUUGUAAUACUUCUUAUAAUUUUUUUAAAAAAGGACUUAAAGCCAAAAUGACAAAAGAGUAACCAUUUUCAAUUCUGUGUAGAAGAGAUACUGUGUUCAUUUUAUUAUUUCUGGGAUUUUUCUGGAUUUUUAAAGUUUAUCCAAUAUAAAAAAAAUAAAAACUGCACUGUUGGCUGGGCCA